GAAAAAUAUAAUAACUUUAGUUAAUUAUUUGUAAUAGCUCAAGGCUGAGUUGUUGACUCAACCUGUGACAAAGGACAAUCCAAAAAUACGAUGGAUCUAUGGGGGCUGGUAGGGGCCAUCGCCCCUUCUAAAAUUUUAGCAUCCAACAAAUUUGGCCAAAUACAUCAUCAAGACACUUGAAUUAAUUUUACCUAUCGAAUAUCUGAACUAAUUUUGUUAUCUAUUAGAUACCCAAACUUUAAAAUUUCAUUACAAAUAAACACAACAUUGCACAGAGAAAAAUAUGCUAGUUACACAGUCUGUGAAGUGGUAGUUGAUUGCCAAAUAGCCAAAAUAAUCUGAGCUGACAUUCAAGUUUUGGGAACGCUAUUGAAAGAGCUUCUUCAUGAAGGAGACCCUUUGAAUACCCAAGUAAAAUUGAAAUUUGAAACUUUAUCUCCAAAAAUCACAUCAAUUGUUGGAUAGGAACUCUCAAGCAAAUUGUUCUAGAAUUGAUUGAUGAAGGUUGACCACCAGUAUGGAUGUUUGUGCAACUAUCCAAGCAAUCAUUCAUCUAGACUGUCUUUGCAAUGCAUGCAUAGUACUUAUAAUGUGGGACCUGUUAUGUAUUUAUUGCACAAAUGGUAAAGAUUAGUGAUUGCAUUGAUAGUCACAUAGCAGAAACCGAAUAUAUGUUUUGAUCUCUACAAGAAUCAAAAGCUCCAAAAUGAAACAAGUAUUAAACACGAAAAAGCAUUCAAGAGAGACCUCCAAUGCAUUCGCGUUGGUCACAAAUUCGUGCGACCCCAUAUUUGAGAAUCAAGUUUCUGUUAAAACUUUCCAAUCAUAACCUAAACUGUCUUGGACUUCUCAAUUAACUUAUGAAAGAAAGAGAUUUAAAAACACUUAAAGACGAUACAAAUCAGCUAGAAAUGAGGACUAAAUCCUUGGAGCAAAAGUCAAUGAAUGCAAACAAAAGCUUCAACCAAUGACAUUGAAAUAAUCAACAUUAGCUUUGAUAAAAAAGAUCUCUUGACCAUGAAUCUUUAUCAAUAUUUAUCCGAGCUGACUGUUGGAGCCUUGAUCAUAGAGAACAUAACUCUUAAAGACUGUUGGAGCUUUGAUCUAAACCUCCUGGAGACUAAGACUAUGCUAAACCAACUAAAAAAAUAGAGCCCAUGAACAUUUUAGACAAACUAGAAUAAGAACAGCAUAGUAGUGUAACACCUCUCAUGCUUCAUAAACUAAUGCAUGCAAUAUAGUAUAUAGCAUGUCCAAUCUUGACUCAUUGAUAGUGAGCUUCAUGGUCUUCAAAGGUCGUAUAUUUUCUCAAAUUAUAGAGGCACCAAGUUAGGGCUUUAAAAAAAUCAUUGCAUAAAAAGCUUCAACACGUUAGUUAUUAACAAAUAAUCAAAGCUCAAUUCUUUAACAAAAUUCGAUUAGAAAGUUAUAAUGUCAUAUGCACAAAAAAAAUCCUAUCUCAGUAGCUAUUGCUAUAAUUUAGGCAAAUUCCAGAAAAUUAUCCACCAUAAACUUAUCAGUUCAUCAAAAUCAGGAAAUAACUAAUCCUAAUUCAGACUACAGCAACAUCAGUUCCAUAGAUUUCCCAUAUUAAUCUGAUAAGAACAAAACAAUCAUCGAAAUAACAGUGAAAAUUCAUCCCAGUUCUAGAGAUCCAUUAUCGAAUAAUGAAUAUAAUCAACAAUGAUAAUUCUGAUUUAUCCUACUCCUCACUAGAGAAUCAGAUAAUUAUGACCUAACAACACUAAAAAUUAAAAUAAUAACAAGCAUCAAUAAGUGAACAACACCAAACCCGAUCAAUUCGUUUUCGGAUCAGGCAUGGGGAACAAUCCGCCCCCGGCGGCUCCACGCGGUGGCGAAAACCCGAGAAACUUUUGGAGAUUUGUGCGGAUACUGAUCGAACACAGGAAAUACAAAAAUGCCAUUGAGCAAUCCGUCGCAUCAUCGCCUUGCAAUCCUCUGUGACUCAUCUUCAUCACGAUCCCUAUCGGCUUAAACGGCAAUUUGGCAACAACUUUCCCUUCGAAGAGCGAAUUCAACAGUCCAAAAACGAUGAAGAGAACCAAGGCAACAACGGCGCCGGAUUUGAACUUGAAGAGGGAGAGAUCACGACUGGACUCUUUCAAGGAGGUCUCGACGCGGUCAAUUUUCUUGGUCUUUGAUUUUUUGGUGGUGACUUUGACGGUUUCGGUUUUCAUAGUCUCAAGCUUCUUAGAAGCUUUGUCGAUGGAGGAUUUCAGGGAUUUGUAGGAGUUGGUGCGAUAAAUUAAGAUCCAGGAGAUGGCCUCGCAGACUACGGCGGUGCAGAUGGAGAUGGCCACCACCGUAAGGCUGUCGGAGUACUUGAAGAAGGAGAGGAAUUGGGGUGUGGCCAUCGGGAGACGACGUUUAAGAGAGCUUUUUUGGCGAAGUUCUCACUGGGAAGGACUGAGGUCCGAGGGGGAUGUUUGGCUGCGGGUGAAGUAGUGGGCGAUUUUGGAGAAUGGAAUUUGGAGAGGUAAAUAAGUGAGAAAUUUU
rnacentral:misc_RNA from 1 species